CCUCAGGAUUAACAAAUAUUGUUUCCACAAACACGUUUCACCAACAAGGCUUCUUCAAUAUGGAAUUAAAAGUAUAUAUAUAUAUAUAUAUAUUUUUUUUUUUUAAAUUGGGGUAGCCCCCAAAAUAUUGGGACAUAUAAAAAAAGACAACUCUGUUCCGCAGAGUAGCUGUUGACAUUAUAGUUGCGCAGGCACUUUUUUGACUUUAGAGAACCUCGGGCCAAUCGCACAUCCCCGAGCCGGUGAUUUUGCAUACGGAUGUCAUCCAUAGCAACUCUCGAUGCCAGGUUCUGUGCCUACCAUGGUGACCACGGGUAACGGGGAAUCAGGGUUCCAUUCCAUACAGGGACCCUGAGAAAUGGCUACCACAUGCAAGGAAGGCAGCAGGCGCGCAAAUGACCCACUCCCGACGCAGGAAGGUAGUGACGACAUAUAACAAUACAGGACUCUUUAGAGGCCCUGUAAUUGUAAUGAGUCCACUUGAAAUCCUUUAACUCUGAUACAAUUGGAGGGAAGUCUGGUGCAGAGCCACUGACCCGUGCGUGCUGCAGCUGAAACUCCACUAUCGCCUGCUGCUGCUCGCACAGUCUCAUGAGG